rnacentral:rRNA from 1 species
UAAACUCCUGUCAGAGGUCGAAGAAUGCCUGAUUUAUCAGGUUUGACGGUAACCUCAGAGGAAGCCCCGGCUAACUACGUGCCAGCAGCCGCGGUAAUACGUAGGGGGCAAACGUUGCUCGGAAUUACUGGGCGUAAAGGGUGUGUAGGUGGCUGAGUAAGUCACGGAUGAAAUCCCGAGGCUCAACCUCGGAAUUGUCCUUGAAACUGCUCAGCUUGAGGAUAGCUGAGGAAAACGGAAUUCCCGGUGGAGCGGUGAAAUGCGUAGAUAUCGGGAGGAACACCAGAGGCGAAGGCGGUUUUCU